rnacentral:tRNA from 2 species
AAGAUACUAGUAAAACCGAACAUUACAUUGCCUUGUCAAGACAAAAUUGUAGGUUAAAAUCCUGCGUAUCUUA